rnacentral:rRNA from 1 species
GACAGAGGCCUCAAGCGUUAGGCGGAAUCACUGGGCUUAAAGCGUGUGUAGGCGGACGCCUAAGUACCUUGUGAAAUCCCCCGGCUCAACCGGGGAACGGGCGCGGAUACGACCUUCCUUGAGGGGCGUAGGGGGACCUGGAACUCCGGUGGAGCGGUGAAAUGCGUUGAGAUCGGAAGGAACGCCCGUGGCGAAAGCGAGGUCCUGGACGCCUACGUGACGCUGAGACGGCGAAAGCCAGGGGAGCGAACCGGG